rnacentral:rRNA from 1 species
UAUGAUUAAAGGUAUUCCGGUAGACGAUGGGGAUGCGUUCCAUUAGAUAGUAGGCGGGGUAACGGCCCACCUAGUCUUCGAUGGAUAGGGGUUCUGAGAGGAAGGUCCCCCACAUUGGAACUGAGACACGGUCCAAACUCCUACGGGAGGCAGCAGUGAGGAAUAUUGGUCAAUGGGCGAGAGCCUGAACCAGCCAAGUAGCGUGAAGGAUGACUGCCCUAUGGGUUGUAAACUUCUUUUAUAAAGGAAUAAAGUCGGGUAUGCAUACCCGUUUGCAUGUACUUUACGAAUAAGGAUCGGCUAACUCCGUGCCAGCAGCCGCGGUAAUACGGAGGAUCCGAGCGUUAUCCGGAUUUAUUGGGUUUAAAGGGAGCGUAGAUGGAUGUUUAAGUCAGUUGUGAAAGUUUGCGGCUCAACCGUAAAAUUGCAGUUGAUACUGGAUAUCUUGAGUGCAGUUGAGGCAGGCGGAAUUCGUGGUGUAGCGGUGAAAUGCUUAGAUAUCACGAAGAACUCCGAUUGCGAAGGCAGCCUGCUAAGCCGCAACUGACAUUGAGGCUCGAAAGUGUGGGUAUCAAACAGGAUUAGAUACCCUGGUAGUCCACACGGUAAACGAUGAAUACUCGCUGUUUGCGAUAUACGGCAAGCGGCCAAGCGAAAGCGUUAAGUAUUCCACCUGGGGAGUACGCCGGCAACGGUGAAACUCAAAGGAAUUGACGGGGGCCCGCACAAGCGGAGGAACAUGUGGUUUAAUUCGAUGAUACGCGAGGAACCUUACCCGGGCUUAAAUUGCAGAUGAAUUACGGUGAAAGCCGUAAGCCGCAAGGCAUCUGUGAAGGUGCUGCAUGGUUGUCGUCAGCUCGUGCCGUGAGGUGUCGGCUUAAGUGCCAUAACGAGCGCAACCCUUGUUGUCAGUUACUAACAGGUUCCGCUGAGGACUCUGACAAGACUGCCAUCGUAAGAUGUGAGGAAGGUGGGGAUGACGUCAAAUCAGCACGGCCCUUACGUCCGGGGCUACACACGUGUUACAAUGGGGGGUACAGAGGGCCGCUACCACGCGAGUGGAUGCCAAUCCCCAAAACCUCUCUCAGUUCGGACUGGAGUCUGCAACCCGACUCCACGUAGCUGGAUUCGCUAGUAAUCGCGCAUCAGCCACGGCGCGGUGAAUACGUUCCCGGGCCUUGUACACACCGCCCGUCAAGCCAUGGGAGCCGGGGGUACCUGAAGUGCGUAACCGCGAGGAGCGCCCUAGGGUAAAACUGGUGACUGGGGCUAAGUCGUAACAAGGUAGCCGUACCGGAAGGUGCGGCUG